GUUGUAGUAAACAUGGCGUCCGACAGCGACAGCGACGGAGAUUUUGUUACUUUUGGAACCCCAUUAGAACCGCUAGAAGAAGUCUGCAAUACCAACAUGUUUCAAGGAGACCACCGUAGUCCCUGUGCUCCAGAACACCAAGGUGACCUGUCUAAAUGACUAUCGCUCCGUAGCCCUCACUUCUGUAGCCAUGAAAUGCGUUCUUAGCAUCCCUGGAUCCCAUCCAAUUCCCGUACCGCCCCAACAGGGUAUCAGUGUGCUCACUAGCUCUGGUCCAGGGUAUCAGUGUGCUCACUAGCUCUGGUCCAGGGUAUCAGUGUGCUAGGUGAGUAUCCGUCUGCUCACUAGCUCUGGUCCAGGGUAUCAGUGUGCUCACUAGCUCUGGUCCAGGGUAUCAGUGUGCUAGGUGAGUAUCCGUCUGCUCACUAGGUCUGGUCCAGGGUAUCAGUGUGCUCACUAGCUCUGGUCCAGGGCAUCAGUGUGCUCACUAGCUCUGGUCCAGGGCAUCAGUGUGCUCACUAGCUCUGGUCCAGGGCAUCAGUGUGCUCACUAGCUCUGGUCCAGGGCAUCAGUGUGCUCACUAGCUCUGGUCCAGGGCAUCAGUGUGCUAGGUGAAUAUCCG
ensembl:lncRNA